rnacentral:sRNA from 1 species
CUGGAUGACAGCCCCCCGAGAGACACCUGUGACUGCUCCCACCUGCAGAAAGAAGGCAACAAGUAAUUCACUGAGCAGAUGCACGCUGCUGGUGUAUUGCACGGACCUUCCACCCACUAGCAUCAUCAUCACCUUCCACAACGAGGCCCGCUCCACGCUGCUCAGGACCAUCCGCAGCGUAAUAAACCGCACCCCUACGCAUCUGAUCCGGGAAAUCAUAUUAGUGGAUGACUUCAGCAAUGACCCUGAUGACUGUAAACAGCUCAUCAAGUUGCCCAAGGUGAAAUGCUUGCGCAAUAAUGAACGGCAAGGUCUGGUCCGGUCCCGGAUUCGGGGCGCUGACAUUGCCCAGGGCACCACUCUGACUUUCCUCGACAGCCACUGUGAGGUGAACAGGGACUGGCUCCAGCCUCUGUUGCACAGGGUCAAAGAGGACUACACGCGGGUGGUGUGCCCUGUGAUCGAUAUCAUUAACCUGGACACCUUCACCUACAUCGAGUCUGCCUCGGAGCUCAGAGGGGGGUUUGACUGGAGCCUCCACUUCCAGUGGGAGCAGCUCUCCCCAGAGCAGAAGGCUCGGCGCCUGGACCCCACGGAGCCCAUCAGGACUCCUAUCAUAGCUGGAGGGCUCUUCGUGAUCGACAAAGCUUGGUUUGAUUACCUGGGGAAAUAUGAUAUGGACAUGGACAUCUGGGGUGGGGAGAACUUUGAAAUCUCCUUCCGAGUGUGGAUGUGCGG